GAUGAAGAACGCAGCGAAAUGCGAUAAGUAGUGUGAAUUGCAGAAUUCCGUGAAUCAUCGAAUCUUUGAACGCACAUUGCGCCCUUUGGUAUUCCUUAGGGCAUGCCUGUUCGAGCGUCAUUUGUACCUUCAAGCUUUGCUUGGUGUUGGGUGUUUGUCUCGCCUUUGCGUGUAGACUCGCCUUAAAAUAAUUGGCAGCCGGCGUAUUGAUUUCGGAGCGCAGUACAUCUCGCGCUUUGCACUCAUAACGACAGCGUCCAAAAGUACAUUUUACACUCUUGACCUCGGAUCAGGUAGGGAUACCCGCUGAACUUAAGCAUAUCAAUAAGCGGAGGA
rnacentral:misc_RNA from 1 species